CGGGCCGCUCCGCUCGGAUGCUGGAAACUUGGUGGCGGCCGCGGCGUUUGAGAGUGGGAGCAGCGAUACGCGCGGACGACCCGAGGCGUCAGCCCAUUGAAUGAGCAGAUGAUACCGACCAAGUCAAACGGCUCCAGCAGAUAUUUCAGGUUUAUGCGAAUGUCAGACCGAUUUCAGCUGUACGUCUACUGGCCACAGUUUGGGGAUGUGGCAGG